rnacentral:rRNA from 1 species
AGGUGAAAUUUGGAGCUUCCGUGAAAUAAUUUAGAAUUAGGGUUUUGUGCAGAGGUCGUUAAGGUUAGGGAAUAAAAUGGGAUUAGAUACCCCACUAUACUUAAUUUGAAGUAAUCAAUGCCUGGGUAGUAAUCAGAUAUGUUCUUGAAAUCCAGAGAAUUUGGCGGUAUUCUAGCCCUGUUAGAGGAACCUGUUCUUUAAACGAUAGUCCACGAAUUAUCUUACUUUAAUUAGUUUGUUCAGUUUGUAUACCGCCAUUAUUAGAUGUACUCUCUAGGGAAUCAUUAUAAUAGAGUUUUGUCUAGUAUAUUAGGUCUGGGUGCAGCCAAUAUUAAAGGAAGUAAUGGGUUACAAUUAUUUAGUUAAAAUGGAUGGUAAUUUGAAACGAUGACCUGAAGGUGGAUUUAAUUGUAAAUAUAUUUUAAUAUGUUAAUUUGAUAAAGGCUCUGGAAUAUGUA